AUUGAACGCUGGCGGCAGGCCUAACACAUGCAAGUCGAACGGUAACAGGAAACAGCUUGCUGUUUCGCUGACGAGUGGCGGACGGGUGAGUAAUGUCUGGGAAACUGCCUAAUGGAGGGGGAUAACUACUGGAAACGGUAGCUAAUACCGCAUAACGUCGCAAGACCAAAGAGGGGGACCUUCGGGCCUCUUGCCAUCGGAUGUGCCCAGAUGGGAUUAGCUAGUAGGUGGGGUAACGGCUCACCUAGGCGACGAUCCCUAGCUGGUCUGAGAGGAUGACCAGCCACACUGGAACUGAGACACGGUCCAGACUCCUACGGGAGGCAGCAGUGGGGAAUAUUGCACAAUGGGCGCAAGCCUGAUGCAGCCAUGCCGCGUGUAUGAAGAAGGCCUUCGGGUUGUAAAGUACUUUCAGCGGGGAGGAAGGGAGUAAAGUUAAUACCUUUACUCAUUGACGUUACCCGCAGAAGAAGCACCGGCUAACUCCGUG
rnacentral:rRNA from 1 species